rnacentral:rRNA from 1 species
AUUGAACGCUAGCGGCAGGCUUUACACAUGCAAGUCGAACGAGUGGCGGACGGGUGAGUAAUGUAUGGGAAACUGCCCGAUGGAGGGGGAUAACUACUGGAAAGAGUAGCUAAUACCGCAUACCAUCGGAUGUGCCCAGAUGGGAUUAGCUAGUUGGUGGGGUAAAGGCUCACCAAGGCAACGAUCCCUAGCUGGUUUGAGAGGAUGACCAGCCACACUGGAACUGAGACACGGCCCAGACUCCUACGGGAGGCAGCAGUGGGGAAUAGUGGACAAUGGGCGAAACCCUGAUGCAGCCAUGCCGCGUGUAUGAAGAAGGCCUUCGGGUUGUAAAGUACUUUCAGCGGGGAAGCGGUAUCCGCAGAAGAAGCACCGGCUAACUCCGUGCCAGCAGCCGCGGUAAUAC